UGGGGAAUUUUGGACAAUGGGCGAAAGCCUGAUCCAGCAAUGCCGCGUGUGUGAAGAAGGCCUUCGGGUUGUAAAGCACUUUUGUCCGGAAAGAAAUCCUUGGCUCUAAUACAGUCGGGGGAUGACGGUACCGGAAGAAUAAGCACCGGCUAACUACGUGCCAGCAGCCGCGGUAAUACGUAGGGUGCAAGCGUUAAUCGGAAUUACUGGGCGUAAAGCGUGCGCAGGCGGUUUGCUAAGACCGAUGUGAAAUCCCCGGGCUCAACCUGGGAACUGCAUUGGUGACUGGCAGGCUAGAGUAUGGCAGAGGGGGGUAGAAUUCCACGUNUAGCAGUGAAAUGCGUAGAGAUGUGGAGGAAUACCGAUGGCGAAGGCAGCCCCCUGGGCAAUACUGACGCUCAUGCACGAAAGCGUGGGGAGCAAACAGGAUUAGAUACCCUGGUAGUCCACGCCCUAAACGAUGUCACUAGUUGUUGGGAUCAUUUCCUUAGUAACGUAGCUAACGCGUGAAGUUGACCGCCUGGGGAGUACGGUCGCAAGAUUAAAACUCAAAGGAAUUGACGGGGUCAUAGCUG
rnacentral:rRNA from 1 species